UCUUCUUCCAUAUAUUUGAUAUGAGGGAGCGAUGUAAAUGAGUGGAUAAAACUGGUGUUCCUUUUUUCAACAACAAAAUAGUAUUUUUUUCUGCAUUUCUCCUUUCUUUCGACUAAUAUAUAUAAUAUGUUGUUGCUUUUAUACAAUAGUGUUUUUGUGUAUCUAUGAUAGAACUCCAUUUUGUUUAUGGCCAUUAUCAUGUGAUUAUGAUGAAAUUUCCUAUUUCUUUUUUUGCAGGAAA
rnacentral:lncRNA from 1 species